GACAGUCUCAGUUCGGAUUGAAGGCUGAAAUUCGCCUUCAUGAAGCCGGAAUUGCUAGUAAUGGCAGGUCAGCAUACUGCCGUGAAUACGUUCCCGGGCCUUGUACACACCGCCCGUCACACCAUGAGAGUUGGGGAUACCCGAAGCCUGUGAGCUAACUUUUAGAGGCAGCAGUCGAAGGUAGAAUCAAUGAUUGGGGUGAAGUCGUAACAAGGUAGC
rnacentral:rRNA from 1 species